UCAGGAUGAACGCUAGCUACAGGCUUAACACAUGCAAGUCGAGGGGCAUCAGGAAGAAAGCUUGCUUUCUUUGCUGGCGACCGGCGCACGGGUGAGUAACACGUAUCCAACCUGCCCUUUACUCGGGGAUAGCCUUUCGAAAGAAAGAUUAAUACCCGAUAGCAUAAUGAUUCCGCAUGGUUUCAUUAUUAAAGGAUUCCGGUAAAGGAUGGGGAUGCGUUCCAUUAGGUUGUUGGUGAGGUAACGGCCCACCAAGCCUUCGAUGGAUAGGGGUUCUGAGAGGAAGGUCCCCCACAUUGGAACUGAGACACGGUCCAAACUCCCACGGGAGGCAGCAGUGAGGAAUAUUGGUCAAUGGGCGCUAGCCUGAACCAGCCAAGUAGCGUGAAGGAUGAAGGCUCUAUGGGUCGUAAACUUCUUUUAUAUAAGAAUAAAGUGCAGUAUGUAUACUGUUUUGUAUGUAUUAUAUGAAUAAGGAUCGGCUAACUCCGUGCCAGCAGCCGCGGUAAUACGGAGGAUCCGAGCGUUAUCCGGAUUUAUUGGGUUUAAAGGGAGCGUAGGUGGACUGGUAAGUCAGUUGUGAAAGUUUGCGGCUCAACCGUAAAAUUGCAGUUGAUACUGUCAGUCUUGAGUACAGUAGAGGUGGGCGGAAUUCGUGGUGUAGCGGUGAAAUGCUUAGAUAUCACGAAGAACUCCGAUUGCGAAGGCAGCUCACUGGACUGCAACUGACACUGAUGCUCGAAAGUGUGGGUAUCAAACAGGAUUAGAUACCCUGGUAGUCCACACAGUAAACGAUGAAUACUCGCUGUUUGCGAUAUACAGUAAGCGGCCAAGCGAAAGCAUUAAGUAUUCCACCUGGGGAGUACGCCGGCAACGGUGAAACUCAAGGGAAUUGACGGGGGCCCGCACAAGCGGAGGAACAUGUGGUUUAAUUCGAUGAUACGCGAGGAACCUUACCCGGGCUUAAAUUGCAGUGGAAUGAUGUGGAAACAUGUCAGUGAGCAAUCACCGCUGUGAAGGUGCUGCAUGGUUGUCGUCAGCUCGUGCCGUGAGGUGUCGGCUUAAGUGCCAUAACGAGCGCAACCCUUAUCUUUAGUUACUAACAGGUUAUGCUGAGGACUCUGGAGAGACUGCCGUCGUAAGAUGUGAGGAAGGUGGGGAUGACGUCAAAUCAGCACGGCCCUUACGUCCGGGGCUACACACGUGUUACAAUGGGGGGUACAGAAGGCAGCUACCUGGCGACAGGAUGCUAAUCCCAAAAACCUCUCUCAGUUCGGAUCGAAGUCUGCAACCCGACUUCGUGAAGCUGGAUUCGCUAGUAAUCGCGCAUCAGCCAUGGCGCGGUGAAUACGUUCCCGGGCCUUGUACACACCGCCCGUCAAGCCAUGAAAGCCGGGGGUACCUGAAGUACGUAACCGCAAGGAGCGUCCUAGGGUAAAACUGGU
rnacentral:rRNA from 1 species